rnacentral:sRNA from 1 species
AGAGAACGUGAAGGUUAACGUUGCUUUAGCAACGGCCCGAAGGGCGAGGCGAAGCCGAGUCAUCCUGCACGACCCACCA